UACAGAGGGGGCAAGCGUUGUUCGGAAUUACUGGGCGUAAAGGGCGCGUAGGCGGCCCGCUAAGUCGAACGUGAAAUCCCCGGGCUCAACCCGGGAACUGCGUCCGAUACUGGUGGGCUCGAAUCCGGGAGAGGGAUGCGGAAUUCCAGGUGUAGCGGUGAAAUGCGUAGAUAUCUGGAGGAACACCGGUGGCGAAGGCGGCAUCCUGGACCAACACUGACGCUGAGGAGCGAAAGCCAGGGGAGCAAACGGG
rnacentral:rRNA from 1 species